GACGUAGGGCGCGAGCGUUGUCCGGAUUUAUUGGGCGUAAAGAGCUCGUAGGCGGUCUGUCGCGUCUGCUGUGAAAACCCGAGGCUCAACCUCGGGCCUGCAGUGGGUACGGGCAGACUAGAGUGCGGUAGGGGGAGAAUGGAAUUCCUGGUGUAGAGGUGAAAUUCGUAGAUAUCGGGAGGAACACCAGUGGCGAAGGCGGCUCUCUGGGCAGAUACUGAGCUGAGACGCGAAAGCAUGGGGAGCAA
rnacentral:rRNA from 1 species